rnacentral:rRNA from 1 species
GACGAACGCUGGCGGCGUGCUUAACACAUGCAAGUCGAACGGAAAGGCCCCUUCGGGGGUACUCGAGUGGCGAACGGGUGAGUAACACGUGAGUAACCUGCCCUUGACUUCGGGAUAACUUCAGGAAACUGGGGCUAAUACCGGAUAGGAAUCCUUGCUGCAUGGUGGGGGUUGGAAAGCUUCGGCGGUUUUGGAUGGACUCGCGGCUUAUCAGCUUGUUGGUGGGGUAGUGGCUUACCAAGGCUUUGACGGGUAGCCGGCCUGAGAGGGCGACCGGCCACAUUGGGACUGAGAUACGGCCCAGACCCCUACGGGAGGCAGCAGUGGGGAAUAUUGCACAAUGGGCGGGAGCCUGAUGCAGCAACGCCGCGUGCGGGAUGACGGCCUUCGGGUUGUAAACCGCUUUCAGCAGGGGCGAAGCUUGUGGUGACGGUACCUGCAGAAGAAGCACCGGCUAACUACGUG